rnacentral:siRNA from 1 species
UUACUUAACAGUGUGUCUAAUAUC